rnacentral:rRNA from 1 species
CUACGGGUGGCUCCAGUGGGGAAUAUUGCACAAUGGGCGCAAGCCUGAUGCAGCCAUGCCGCGUGUAUGAAGAAGGCCUUCGGGUUGUAAAGUACUUUCAGCGGGGAGGAAGGGAGUAAAGUUAAUACCUUUGCUCAUUGACGUUACCCGCAGAAGAAGCACCGGCUAACUCCGUGCCAGCAGCCGCGGUAAUACGGAGGGUGCAAGCGUUAAUCGGAAUUACUGGGCGUAAAGCGCACGCAGGCGGUUUGUUAAGUCAGAUGUGAAAUCCCCGGGCUCAACCUGGGAACUGCAUCUGAUACUGGCAAGCUUGAGUCUCGUAGAGGGGGGUAGAAUUCCAGGUGCAGCGGUGAUAUGCGUAGAGAUCUGGAGGAAUACCGGUGGCGAAGGCGGCCCCCUGGACGAAGACUGACGCUCAGGUGCGAAAGCGUGGGGAGCAAACAGGAUUAGAUACCCGAGUAGUC